rnacentral:rRNA from 1 species
CAGCAGCCGCCGCGGUAAUACAGAGGGUGCGAGCGUUAAUCGGAUUUACUGGGCGUAAAGCGUGCGUAGGCGGCUUCUUAAGUCGGAUGUGAAAUCCCUGAGCUUAACUUAGGAAUUGCAUUCGAUACUGGGAAGCUAGAGUAUGGGAGAGGAUGGUAGAAUUCCAGGUGUAGCGGUGAAAUGCGUAGAGAUCUGGAGGAAUACCGAUGGCGAAGGCAGCCAUCUGGCCUAAUACUGACGCUGAGGUACGAAAGCAUGGGGAGCAAACAGGAUUAGAUACCCCGGUAGUCCCUGUCUCUUAUAA